rnacentral:misc_RNA from 1 species
AGUCGUAACAAGGUAUUCGUAGGUGAACCUGCGAAUGGAUCAUUAUCAUACCUUAUUCAUUUAUUAACAACCACAAACAAACCUCCUUUCUCAUUCUUUUGUCAAAGAAAGAAUUUGAAAGAGAACCAUUCCUUUGAAGAUUGAUUCAACUUCUCUUUUGCUGUUGUUUCUUUUGGAAAAGGUUGUCUCUUUUUGUUUUCGAAAGAUGAGAUCUUCGGAUUGACUUCAAUCAAUAAACAAAAAUAACAAAACCAAUCGUAUUAAAAAACCAUUUUCAAAAACCUUUUCUUUUUCAUUAUUUUUGAACUUGUUCAGAAAUAUGAGAAAACAAACAAAAAAAAAGUUGAAACAAAAAAACAAAGUAUCAACUCUUGACAAUGGAUAUCUUGGCUUUC